rnacentral:tRNA from 3 species
AGGGUUGUAGUUAAUAAUAACAUUUGAUUUGCAUUCAAAAAAUAUUGAAUAAUUCAAUCUACCUUA